rnacentral:rRNA from 1 species
UACGUCGGUGGCGAGCGUUGUCCGGAUUUACUGGGCGUAAAGGGCGUGCAGGCGGUUUGCUAAGUCUAGGGUGAAAGCUCCCGGCUCAACUGGGAGAGGUCCUUGGAUACUGACAGACUUGAGGGAGGCAGAGGAGAAUGGAAUUCCCGGUGUAGUGGUGAUAUGCGUAGAUAUCGGGAGGAACACCAGUGGCGAAGGCGGUUCUCUGGGCCUUACCUGACGCUGAGACGCGAAAGCGUGGGGAGCGAACCGG